GAUGAACGCUGGCGGCGUGCUUAACACAUGCAAGUCGAACGAUGAAGCCCAGCUUGCUGGGUGGAUUAGUGGCGAACGGGUGAGUAACACGUGAGUAACCUGCCCUUAACUCUGGGAUAAGCCUGGGAAACUGGGUCUAAUACCGGAUAGGAGCGUCCACCGCAUGGUGGGUGUUGGAAAGAUUUAUCGGUUUAGGAUGGACUCGCGGCCUAUCAGCUUGUUGGUGAGGUAAUGGCUCACCAAGGCGACGACGGGUAGCCGGCCUGAGAGGGUGACCGGCCACACUGGGACUGAGACACGGCCCAGACUCCUACGGGAGGCAGCAGUGGGGAAUAUUGCACAAUGGGCGCAAGCCUGAUGCAGCGACGCCGCGUGAGGGAUGACGGCCUUCGGGUUGUAAACCUCUUUCAGUAGGGAAGAAGCGAAAGUGACGGUACCUGCAGAAGAAGCACCGGCUAACUACGUG
rnacentral:rRNA from 1 species